UACGGGGGGGGCAAGCGUUGUUCGGAAUUACUGGGCGUAAAGGGCGCGUAGGCGGGCGGUCAAGUCGAGGGUGAAAGCCCCCAGCUCAACUGGGGAAGUGCCUCCGAUACUGGCCGUCUCGAGGGGGAUAGGGGCGUGCGGAACUUCCGGUGGAGCGGUGAAAUGCGUAGAUAUCGGAAGGAACAUCGGUGGCGAAAGCGGCGCGCUGGAUCCCUUCUGACGCUGAGGCGCGAAAGCCAGGGGAGCGAACGGG
rnacentral:rRNA from 1 species